GACGAACGCUGGCGGCGUGCCUAAUACAUGCAAGUAGAACGCUGAAGGAGGAGCUUGCUUCUCUGGAUGAGUUGCGAACGGGUGAGUAACGCGUAGGUAACCUGCCUGGUAGCGGGGGAUAACUAUUGGAAACGAUAGCUAAUACCGCAUAAUAGUAGAUGUUGCAUGACAUUUGCUUAAAAGGUGCGAUUGCAUCACUACCAGAUGGACCUGCGUUGUAUUAGCUAGUUGGUGAGGUAACGGCUCACCAAGGCGACGAUACAUAGCCGACCUGAGAGGGUGAUCGGCCACACUGGGACUGAGACACGGCCCAGACUCCUACGGGAGGCAGCAGUAGGGAAUCUUCGGCAAUGGACGGAAGUCUGACCGAGCAACGCCGCGUGAGUGAAGAAGGUUUUCGGAUCGUAAAGCUCUGUUGUAAGAGAAGAACGAGUGUGAGAGUGGAAAGUUCACACUGUGACGGUAUCUUACCAGAAAGGGACGGCUAACUACGUG
rnacentral:rRNA from 1 species